GGUUAAGUUAAUAAGGGCGCACGGUGGAUGCCUUGGCACUAAGAGCCGAUGAAGGACGGGACUAACUCCGAUAUGCUUUGGGGAGCUGUAAGUAAGCUUUGAUCCAAAGAUUUCCGAAUGGGGGAACCCAGCAUUUUUUAUAGAAUGUUACUGCUAGCUG
rnacentral:rRNA from 1 species